GCCAGGCGGACCAACACCGCUAAAUGACAGAAUUAACCUCACUCUUGGCGCUAAGCUAGCUACUUACUCUUGGCCAUUUCUAGAAAACGCCCAUUUCCAGUAUCUUAGGAGAGGUCAUUUUAGGCAUUUGGUAAAAAGACAGGGGCAUAAUUAUCAUUCGAUUAGAUCGAAGGCAAACCUUACCAGAAAAGGGGGAUACCGGAGGA
rnacentral:misc_RNA from 1 species